GAUGAACGCUGGCGGCGUGCUUAACACAUGCAAGUCGAACGAAGCACUGUAGUUGAUUUCCUUCUGGACUUAUUAUUUUGUGACUGAGUGACGGACGGGUGAGUAACGCGUGGGUAACCGGCCUUGUACAGGAGGAGAACAGUUGGAAACGUCUGCUAAUACCGCAUAAGCGCACGUCGUCGCAUGAGGCAGUGUGAAAAACUCCGGUGGUAUAAGAUGGACCCUCGUUGGAUUAUAUAGUUGGUGAGUUAACGGCCCACCAAGGCGACGAUCCAUAGCCGACCUGUGAGGGUGACCGGCCACAUUGGGACUGAGAAACGGCCCAAACUCCUACGGGAGGCAGCAGUGGGGAAUAUUGCACAAUGGGCGAAAGCAUGAUGCAGCGACGACGCGUGAGCGAAGAAGUAUUUCGGUAUGUAAAGCUCUAUCAGCAGGGAAGAUAAUGACGGUACCUGACUAAGAAGCCACGGCUAAAUACGUG
rnacentral:rRNA from 1 species